GGCCCAUCACCAAGGUACUUCAGCACAAGCUUCAUUUUAAAUACAGGACUAUCACUGGCUUCCACAGCAUUGCUGCAGUGCUUCCAGUUGUGGAAAUGCUGAAGCACCUGCCCAGACUGGAGUGUGAAAUACUGAUAAGAGAGAAAAUACUUUUACAGCAAGAGCUUGGCUUACAGCUGUUUGGAAAUGCCAAAAAGAAGAGCUCCCCAGACCUGGCAGCUCUAAACUGGGGGAAGAACUCUGUCAGUGGCCAGGAUGAGAAAAGGUCCUUGCAAGGGUCAAGCUUAAAAGGGAGCAAGAAGAGUGAGGUGAAGGCAAAACAGAAACCAGUAUCACCAGUUUAA
rnacentral:lncRNA from 1 species